AACGUAGGAGACAAACGUUAUCCGGAGUUACUGGGCGUAAAGGGCGUGUAGGUGGUUUCGUAAGUCUGGCGUGAAAUUUUUCGGCUUAACCGGGAAAGGUCGUCGGAUACUGCGGAACUAGAGGACGGUAGAGGCGUGUGGAAUUCCGGGUGUAGUGGUGAAAUGCGUAGAGAUCCGGAAGAACACCGGUGGCGAAGGCGGUUGGCUGGGCCGUGGCUGACACUGAGGCGCGACAGCGUGGGGAGCAAACAGG
rnacentral:rRNA from 1 species